CCAGACUCCUACGGGAGGCAGCAGUGAGGAAUAUUGGUCAAUGGCCGCAGGGCUGAACCAGCCAAGUCGCGUGAGGGAUGACGGUCCUAUGGAUUGUAAACCUCUUUUGUCAGGGAGCAAAGGGCGCCACGUGUGGCGUUUUGCGAGUACCCGAAGAAAAAGCAUCGGCUAACUCCGUGCCAGCAGCCGCGGUAAUACGGAGGAUGCGAGCGUUAUCCGGAUUUAUUGGGUUUAAAGGGUGCGCAGGCGGAAUAUCAAGUCAGCGGUAAAAAUUCGGGGCUCAACCCCGUCGUGCCGUUGAAACUGAUGUUCUUGAGUGGGCGAGAAGUAUGCGGAAUGCGUGGUGUAGCGGUGAAAUGCAUAGAUAUCACGCAGAACUCCGAUUGCGAAGGCAGCAUACCGGCGCCCAACUGACGCUGAAGCACGAAAGCGUGGGUAUCGAACAGGAUUAGAUACCCCGGUAAUA
rnacentral:rRNA from 1 species